rnacentral:rRNA from 1 species
AACGCGAAGAACCUUACCAAAUCUUGACAUCCUUUGACCCUUCUAGAGAUAGAAGUUUCCCCUUCGGGGGGCAAAGUGACAGGUGGUGCAUGGUUGUCGUCAGCUCGUGUCGUGAGAUGUUGGGUUAAGUCCCGCAACGAGCGCAACCCUUAAGCUUAGUUGCCAUCAUUAAGUUGGGCACUCUAAGUUGACUGCCGGUGACAAACCGGAGGAAGGUGGGGAUGACGUCAAAUCAUCAUGCCCCUUAUGAUUUGGGCUACACACGUGCUACAAUGGACAAUACAAAGGGCGGCGAAACCGCGAGGUCAAGCAAAUCCCAUAAAGUUGUUCUCAGUUCGGAUUGUAGUCUGCAACUCGACUACAUGAAGCUGGAAUCGCUAGUAAUCGUAGAUCAGCAUGCUACGGUGAAUACGUUCCCGGGUCUUGUACACACGC